UAGCCACCCAAGCCCAUUCUAUCUGAGUAGAAUCGUUUUGCAAACACAGCUGAGCUCCUGUGCAUGUUUAGCUGACGCACCUGCCCCCCUGCCUUGCCUAAAGACGAGCACCGGCACUCAUUGACACGCAUGGUUAUUUAUGAGGGUGAGGAGGACACCGGCCUAGGCAGCAGCGAACGGCACAUGCUGCUCAAAGCCAUGCUCACCAUCCGCAUUUGAAAGUGGCAGGCACAGCAGGGGCUCACGCUUUUCCUGCUGGCGGACACUCGCCGUGCAGAAACAGCACAGCUGGGCCUGGCACAGCUGCGGAGAGUUUGUGGAACUUUAAUUCCGUCCCCUCAGCUGUGCGCUGUUCCUGGCUGAGGCGAAUCCACCGGCCACGGCAGCGGAGCCGCCGCCGACUCCCUGCGCUGGGCGAGGCCCCGCUCCCGCGGGUCCGCAGGGGCCGGGCCGGGGCUCCCGCGGGUCCGCAGGGGCCGGGCCGGGGCUGCCGCGGGUCCGCAGGGGCCGGGCCGGGGCUGCCGCGGGUCCGCAGGGGCCGGGCCGAGGCUCCCGCGGGUCCGCAGGGGCCGGGCCGGGGCUGCCGCGGGUCCGCAGCGGCGGGGAGGAGUCGGUGGAGCCGGGCAGCAGCGGUGCCCGCUGGGCCGUGUCCCGCUGCAGUGGCUGAGGCGCUCCCACAGUGCCCAGGGCACCGCGCUGCCGGAGCGGGCUUGCUGAGCCGAAAGGCACCAGAGGAUUUUCUGGGACAGGAUAACAGACAGACUGAGGACAUUGUCACCUUGGUGUGAGGAAAGCUGUCUAAGCAGAAUUGAGUGACUCUGGGAGCACUUGUUGAGCUUGAUGUUCAUGCUGAGGAUGUUCUCACGUCUCUAGUAUGCAAAAAGGCAAAGAUGAGAGUGACUUUGAAUGGUUAAGGGAGGUGAGUGAUACCUCUCAAUCCUAUUAGAAGUCACACAAACAUUGCACCCAAAAAGCUAAAAUUAAAUCGAGCUCAAGGAAAGUUAAAAAUUUCUCUGGAUGGUCUAAGAAAGAAACAAACAAAACUGAGGGAAGUUCAAGAUAAAUUUGCUGUACUUCAGCAGAAUCCAAGAAACAAGAGAAAGCUGACUUGGAAAUCAGCAAAAAACUGCAACAAGCAGAACAAGUUAAUGGUGGCCUUGAGGGUGAGAAAAGUCACAGUCAUGAGACUGCUUUGGAGCUGGGAAUGCAGGACAUCAACUCAGCUGGAAUACCCUUGUUCCAUCAGGAAUUGCAGCUUACCUAGCAACCUUUACAUCCAGCUAGAGGCAAGUGAAAUAUGAAGAUACAGAAGCUGAAUCCCAGCUGCCAGCGUGGAUUACACCAAUCAUCCCCAGGGACUGUUUGGGGUAAGCCCCUUUUGAUGAUUUUAUCCAGAGAAGGCAGAGGUAGGCAGAAAAUUCUGUGAAUUA